rnacentral:rRNA from 1 species
UACGAGGGGGGCGAGCGUUUGUUCGGAAUUAUUGGGCGUAAAGGGUGCGUAGGCGGUUCCGCAAGUCCUGUGUGAAAUCUUCGGGCUCAACUCGAAGUCUGCACGGGAAACUGCGGGGCUUGAGUGUGGGAGAGGUGAGUGGGAAUUCCCGGUGUAGCGGUGAAAUGCGUAGAUAGUCGGGAGGAACACCUGUGGCGAAAGCGGCUCACUGGACCAUAACUGACGCUGAUGCACGAAAGCUGGGGGAGCAAACAGG